rnacentral:rRNA from 1 species
UCAAGCUACAAAGAGCGCAGGGUGGAUGCCAAGGCGCCAAACGCCGACGAAGGACGCGAUAAGCUGCGAAAAGCCACGGGGAGCCGCAAAUAGGCAUUGAUCCGUGGAUGUCCGAAUGGGGAAACCCGGCGGAGGGAAUGCUCCGUCAGCCUGUAAUGAAUCCAUAGUUACAGGCGGGGAACCCGGGGAACUGAAACAUCUAAGUACCCGGAGGAAGAGAAAUUAACGUAAAGAUUUCCUAAGUAGUGGCGAGCGAAAGGGAAAGAGCCCAAACCGCGGGUCUACGGACGCGCGGGGUUGAGGGCCGGCAAAAUGGAUUGACAAGCUUUAAUGGAAGACGUCUGGAAAGGCGGGCCAAAGAGGGUAACAGCCCCGUAUAUGAAAGAGCGAGUCACCUAGCCGGUACCAGAGUACCACAGGACACGAGAAAUCCGGUGGGAAGCAGGGUGGACCACCAUCCAAGGCUAAAUACGUUUGGCGACCGAUAGCGCAUAGUACCGUGAGGGAAAGGUGAAAAGAACCCCGGGAGGGGAGUGAAAGAGAACCUGAAACCCUGUGUUUACAAGCGGAGAGAGCACGAUAUAGGUGCGAUCUCGUACUUUUUGUAGAACGGACCGGCGAGUUAUGGUAUGCAGCAAGGUUAAGCACUGAAGGUGCGGAGCCAAAGGGAAACCGAGUCUGAAAAGGGCGUAGAGUUGCAUGUCAUAGACCCGAAACCGGGUGACCUAUCCAUGAGCAGGUUGAAGUGAUGGUAAAACAUCAUGGAGGACCGAACCACGUUAGCGUGAAAAGCUAUGGGAUGACUUGUGGAUAGCGGAGAAAUUCCAAUCGAACCCGGAGAUAGCUGGUUCUCCUCGAAAUAGCUUUAGGGCUAGCCUCAGCCGUUGAUAAUCGCAGGUAGAGCUCUGAAUGGGCUAGGGGGUCACAAAACUUACCGAACCCUAUCAAACUGCGAAUGGCGAAUUAUUAAGGCUGGGAGUCAGACGGCGAGUGAUAAGAUCCGUCGUCAAAAGGGAAACAGCCCAGACCGCCGAUUAAGGUCCCAAAGUACAGGUUAAGUGGUAAAGGAUGUGCGUUUGCGAAAACAACCAGGAUGUUGGCUUAGAAGCAGCCACUCAUUAAAAGAGUGCGUAAUAGCUCACUGGUCGAGUGAAUGUGCGCCGAAGAUACAACGGGGCUAAAACCUGUCACCGAAAUCACGGAAGCAUCAGUUUCAUCAAGAACAUUUGGUGAUGACACUAAUGACAACAUAAGUGUGAAUCACUGAAAUGCCGAAAAGAACAGAGGUAAUCCACCGGGAUAGUCAAGGGAAGGAAACCCUUGACAUAACUCGGCUCACCGGCUCCGCCGGUGAACGGAUGAAUCACGAAGUGAUUCGCACCCUGCGGCAUCCCCGCCCGGAAAUCUCGGAAAGAUUUCAGGGGAUGGCGACAAAGCCCAUCUGAAAGGCAAAGCAUUUCAGAUGACCGGCAAAAACAUGAAAUGUUUUUGACGAAGCUGAUGCUUGGUAGAGGAGCAAUGUGUAUUGGGCAGAAGCCGUACUGAGAAGAGCGGUGGACUAUACACAAGAGAGAAUGCCGGUAUGAGUAGCGAGAGUCAAGUGAGAAACUUGACCGUCGAAAACCUAAGGAUUCCAGGGGAAGGCUUGUCCGCCCUGGGUAAGUCGGGGCCUAAGCCGAGGGCAAAAGCCGUAGGCGAUGGAAAACCGGUAGAGAUUCCGGUACCACCAAGACCCGUUUGAGAGAAGCAAUGACACAGAAGGAUACCCCGAGCCGGUUGAUGGUAGAGCCGGUGCAAGCAUAGAGGCUUUGACGUAGUUAAGUACGCGUCAUGGACGGCCGAUGUGUGAUGCGGAGCGAAAAUAAGUAGCGAAGCGGGAGAGUUCAGGCUGGCGAGAAAAGUUGCUAUCGAGGGAAAGGGUGCCCGUACCGCAAACCGACACAGGUAGGUGAGGAGAAGAUCCUAAGACGAACGGGAGAAACCUUGUUAAGGAACUCGGCAAAAUAACCCCGUAAGUUAGCGAUAAGGGGAGCCGCGAGAGCGGCCGCAGAGAAAUGGCCCAAGCGACUGUUUACCAAAAACACAGGUGUCUGCGAAAGCGAAAGCUGACGUAUAGGCGCUGACGCCUGCCCGGUGCCGGAAGGUUAAGGGGAAGUGUUAGGAGCAAUCCGAAGCACGGAACUUAAGCCCCGGUAAACGGCGGUCGUAACUAUAACGAUCCUAAGGUAGCGAAAUUCCUCGUCAGGUAAAUUCUGACCCGCACGAAUGGCGUAACGACUUGGGCGCUGUCUCAACAGGGGACCCGGUGAAAUUGAAGUAUGUGUGAAGAUGCACAUUACCCGCGACUGGACGGAAAGACCCCGUAGAGCUUUACUGUAGGCUGAUAUUGUAUUUCGGCACUGGAUGCACAGGAUAGGUGGGAGGCUUAGAAGCCGGUAUUUCGGUAUCGGUGGAGCCGCCGUUGGGAUACCACUCUUUCAUUGCUGAAGUACUAACAUGUGUGGAAAGCACGCAUAUGGACAGUGUCAGUUGGGCAGUUUGACUGGGGCGGUCGCCUCCAAAAGAGUAACGGAGGCGCCCAAAGGUACCCUCAGAAUGGAUGGAAACCAUUUACAGAGUGCAAAGGCAUAAGGGUGCUUAACUGCGAGACCGACGGGUCGAGCAGAUACGAAAGUAGGGCUUAGUGAUCAGGCGGCAUUGAGUGGAAAAGCCGUCGCUCAACGGAUAAAAGUUCGCGAUGGAUUCCUCCGCCGCCCUGAUAAUGUGAUAGCGUUU